rnacentral:rRNA from 1 species
UACAGAGGUCUCAAGCGUUGUUCGGAUUCAUUGGGCGUAAAGGGUGCGUAGGCGGCGCGGUAAGUCGGGUGUGAAUCUUGGAGCUUAACUCCGAACUGCAUUCGAUACUGCCGUGCUUGAGGACUGGAGAGGAGACUGGAAUUUACGGUGUAGCGGUGAAAUGCGUAGAUAUCGUAAGGAAGACCAGUGGCGAAGGCGGUCUCGUGGACAGUUCUGACGCUGAGGCACGAAGGCCAGGGAGCAAACGGGAUUAGAACCGUACCGUAGUCAGAUCCAAGAUCCA